rnacentral:rRNA from 1 species
CAGUCGCCGCGGGAAUACGUAGGGUGCGAGCGUUAAUCGGAAUUACUGGGCGUAAAGCGUGCGCAGGCGGUUUUGUAAGACAGAGGUGAAAUCCCCGGGCUCAACCUGGGAACUGCCUUUGUGACUGCAAGGCUAGAGUACGGCAGAGGGGGAUGGAAUUCCGCGUGUAGCAGUGAAAUGCGUAGAUAUGCGGAGGAACACCGAUGGCGAAGGCAAUCCCCUGGGCCUGUACUGACGCUCAUGCACGAAAGCGUGGGGAGCAAACAGGAUUAGAUACCCGAGUAGUCCCUGUCUCUUAUAC